AAGAGACUCUCUGCUUGCCUGUCCUAAGAGAAGCCUGCAAUCAGCAGCCCUCUGUAUAGACAGAUGAAGAAGCCUCAAUGCUUUGACACAGAGCUGAUCACAGAAGCAUCCUGUCUGACUGAAGGCCACAGUCCGGAGGGAGAGCAAUGAAGACACUGACUGAACCAUUGUUCCUGUUCUUCUGGCUGCAGCUGAACUGUGUGAGCAGAGGAGAGCAGGUGGAGCAGCACCUGUCUCACCUGAGUGUCCGGGAGGGAGACAGUGCCGUUAUCAUCUGCACCUACAGAGACAGCCUUUCCUCGUAUUUCUACUGGUACAAGCAAGAGCCUAGAGCAGGUCUCCAGUUGCUUAUUAUGCAGGAUUUCUGGAGUACAGAAAUAAAAGAAGGACAAGGAAUCAUUGUCCUACUGAACAAGAAAGACAAACGGCUCUCGCUGAACAUCACAUCUGCCCAUAUUGGGGACUCUGCCACAUACUUCUGUGCAGUCAGUACACAGUGCUCUUCAGGCACGUCCUGUCUGUACAUAAACCUGAGACCAUGGCCAAAGACAGAUGCAUUUUCCUCUGUUGAGAUAAGGAGUUUCCUGUAUUUUAUGCUUAGGAAACAGAUGUUCUAAUACAUCUUAAAAUCCUGUUUCUAAAACAUACAAUGAGCAUAUUGAAUGAUGUCUUAGUGAGAAUAACUAAUUAGAUGUCAACACUCUAGAGUUGAUUGACAGGUGCCAUUUAGAUUGCCCCCACUCUAAAGACAUCUCAGUGCAACUGGUGGAGAAUACUCAUAAUACAAAGGUUCUUAUCUUUUAAUAAUGGUACUUAGUAUGUCCACUAGGAUAUUAAUGGAUGCUAUAGAAAAUCAUUAAAAUAGAAAGCAAUUUUUUCAAGUAUCAGAA